AACUGCGAAUGGCUCAUUAAAUCAGUUAUCGUUUAUUUGAUAGUACCUUACUACUUGGAUAACCGUGGUAAUUCUAGAGCUAAUACAUGCUGAAAACCCCGACUUCGGAAGGGGUGUAUUUAUUAGAUAAAAAACCAAUGCCCUUCGGGGCUCCUUGGUGAUUCAUAAUAACUUCUCAGAUCGCAUGGCCUUGCGCCGGCGACGGUUCAUUCAAAUUUCUGCCCUAUCAACUUUCGAUGGUAAGGUAUUGGCUUACCAUGGUUUCAACGGGUAACGGGGAAUUAGGGUUCGAUUCCGGAGAGGGAGCCUGAGAAACGGCUACCACAUCCAAGGAAGGCAGCAGGCGCGCAAAUUACCCAAUCCCGACACGGGGAGGUAGUGACAAUAAAUACUGAUACAGGGCUCUUUUGGGUCUUGUAAUUGGAAUGAGUACAAUUUAAACCUCUUAACGAGGAACAAUUGGAGGGCAAGUCUGGUGCCAGCAGCCGCGGUAAUUCCAGCUCCAAUAGCGUAUAUUAAAGUUGUUGCAGUUAAAAAGCUCGUAGUUGAACCUUUGGCCUGGCUGGCAGGUCCGCCUCACCGCGUGCACUUGUCCGGCCGGGCCUUCUCUUCUGGAGAACCGCAUGCCCUUCACUGGGUGUGUUGGGGACCAGGACUUUUACUUUGAAAAAAUUAGAGUGUUCAAAGCAGGCCUUUGCUCGAAUACGUUAGCAUGGAAUAAUAGAAUAGGACGUGCGGUCCUAUUUUGUUGGUUUCUAGGACCGCCGUAAUGAUUAAUAGGGACAGUCGGGGGCAUCAGUAUUCAAUUGUCAGAGGUGAAAUUCUUGGAUUUAUUGAAGACUAACUACUGCGAAAGCAUUUGCCAAGGAUGUUUUCAUUAAUCAGUGAACGAAAGUUAGGGGAUCGAAGACGAUCAGAUACCGUCGUAGUCUUAACCAUAAACUAUGCCGACUAGGGAUCGGGCGGUGUUAUUAUUUUGACUCGCUCGGCACCUUACGAGAAAUCCAAAGKGUUUGGGUUCUGGGGGGAAAUUGUCCCAAGCUAA
rnacentral:rRNA from 1 species